CCUACGGGAGGCAGCAGUGAGGAAUAUUGGGCAAUGGACGAAAGUCUGACCCAGCAACGCCGCGUGGAGGAUGACGGCCGUAAGGUUGUAAACUCCUUUUGAAGGGGACGAAAAAUUUCGAUAACACUGAAACUUGACUGUACCCUUAGAAGAAGCCCCGGCUAACUACGUGCCAGCAGCCGCGGUAAUACGUAGGGGGCAAGCGUUGUCCGGAUUUACUGGGUGUAAGGGCGCGUAGGCGGGUUUGUAAGUCAGAGGUGAAAUCCUGCAGCUUAACUGUAGAAUUGCCUUUGAUACUGCAAAUCUUGAGUUCGGAAGAGAGUAGCGGAAUUCCAGGUGUAGUGGUGAAAUACGUAGAUAUCUGGAAGAACACCAGUGGCGAAGGCGGCUACUUGGUCCGUAACUGACGCUGAGAAGCGAAAGCGUGGGGAGCGAACAGGAUUAGAUACCCCGGUAGUCC
rnacentral:rRNA from 1 species